UUAGAGUUUGAUCCUGGCUCAGGAGAAACGCUAGCGGAGGGCCUAACACAUGCAAGUCGAGGGGCAUCAAAAAAAAUAUAAGAUAAGUUUACUUAUGUUUUUUGUUUGGCAACCGGCGUACGGGUGAGUAAUACAUACGUAACUUUCCUUAUGCUGAAGGAUAGCCCGAGGAAACUUGGAUUAAUACUUCAUAAUACCAUUUUUUAUUAAGAAAUUUGGUUAAAGUUAUUAUGGCAUAAGAUAGGCGUUUGUCCGAUUAGUUAGUUGGGAAGGUAAUGGCUUCCCAAGACAAUGAUCGGUAGGGGGCCUGAGAGGGCGUCCCCCCACAUUGGUACUGAGACACGGACCAAACUUCUACGGAAGGCAGCAGUGAGGAAUAUUGGUCAAUGGAGGCAACUCUGAACCAGCCACUCCGCGUGUAGGAAGAAGGCAAUUUAGGUUGUAAACUACUUUUGUAUAUGAAUAAAAAAUUCUAUUUUUAGAAAAAUUCUAUUUUUAGAAAAAUUGAAGGUAAUAUACGAAUAAGUAUCGGCCAACUCUGUGCCAGCAGCCGCGGUAAAACAGAGGAUACAAGCGUUAUCCGGGAUUUAUUGGGUUUAAAGGGUGCGUAGGUUGUUUUUUAAGUCAGUAGUGAAAUCUUAAAGCUUAACUUUAAAAGUGCUAUUGAUACUGAUAAACUAGAGUGAGGUUGGAGUAACUGGAAUGUGUGGUGGAGCGGUGAAAUGCAUAGAGAUCACACAGAACACCGAUCGCGAAAGCAGAUUACUAAACCUAGACUGACACUGAGGCACGAAAGCAUGGGUAGCAAACAGGAUUAGAUACCCUGGGUAGUCCAUGCCGUAAACGAUGAUCACUAACUAUUGGAGAAUAAUUCAGUGGUCAAGCGAAAGUGAUAAGUGAUCCACCUGAGGAGUACGACCGCAAGGUUGAAACUCAAAGGAAUUGACGGGGGCCCGCACAAUCGGUGGAGCAUGUGGUUUAAUUCGAUGAUACGCGAGGAACCUUACCAAAACUUAAAUGUAUUACGAAUAAAUUGGAAACAAUUUAGUCAUUAGACGGAGUACAAGGUGCUGCAUGGUUGUCGUCAGCUCGUGCCGUGAGGUGUGAGGUUAAGUCCUUAAACGAGCGCAACCCUUAUUAUUAGUUACCAUCAAGUAAUGUUGGGGACUCUAAUAAGACUGCCGGCGUAAGCCGAGAGGAAGGUGGGGACGACGUCAAGUCAUCACGGCCCUUAUGUUUUGGGCCACACACGUGCUACAAUGAUCGGUACAAAAGGCAGCAACUGGGUGACCAGAAGCAAAUCUUUAAAGCCGAUCUAAGUUCGGAUUGGAGUCUGCAACUCGACUCUAUGAAGCUGGAAUCGCUAGUAAUCGUGCAUCAGCCAUGGCACGGUGAAUAUGUACCCGGGCCUUGUACACACCGCCCGUCAAGCCAUGGAAGUUGGAAGUACCUAAAAUCGGUGACCUUUUUUUAUAGAAGGAAACUGCCUAAGGUAAGUCUAAUAACUAGGGCUAAGUCGUAACA
rnacentral:rRNA from 1 species